rnacentral:rRNA from 1 species
GGAUGGAUCACCUCCUUUCU